AAAAGAUCUUUACAACUGGAAACAUCUUCCACAGCAAAACCAUCAUGAUUAUUCUACUUGUAGCUAUACAUUUGAUGAAUUCACUUCUGGUUUCAGGUAAAGCUAUGAAUAUGUUUAAUAUAUUGUUGUCUGAUAACUUCAGCUUUAUAGUUGCAUUUUAUAAUUUACAUGUUUUAUUCUUAUUUAUAUUUUAUUUAUUCUUGUUCUUAUAUGUUGUGUGGUCCUUUUGGUUGAUGUCUGUUCAGCAGGUUCCUCGGACAGUGAUCAAGUCGACCAGACUCCAGCAGACAUUUACACAAAAGGAGAAGAAGCUAAAAUCCACUGCUCACACAGUAAUCCAAACUUUUACACAAUCCUCUGGUACAAGCAGUCAGAGAAACAGCUGCAACUGCUUGGAUACACGAAUUAUGAUAAGAGUUAUCCAGAACCUGGAGUAAAUAUGACAAUGGACGGGGACGCAAGACAGCACAAGAACUGC
ensembl:lncRNA